rnacentral:rRNA from 1 species
AACGCUGAGGACUCUGCACGGACUGCCGGCGCAAGCCGCGAGGAAGGCGGGGAUGACGUCAAAUCAGCACGGCCCUUACGUCCGGGGCGACACACGUGUUACAAUGGGUGGUACAGCGGGAAGCCAGGCGGCGACGCCGAGCGGAACCCGAAAUCCACUCUCAGUUCGGAUCGGAGUCUGCAACCCGACUCCGUGAAGCUGGAUUCGCUAGUAAUCGCGCAUCAGCCAUGGCGCGGUGAAUACGUUCCCGGGCCUUGUACACACCGCCCGUCAAGCCAUGGGAGCCGAGGGCGCUUGAAGUGCGUCGCCGCGAGGCGCGCCCUAGAGCGAAAUCGGUGACUGGGGCUAAGUCGUAACAAGGUAGCCGUACCGGAAGGUGCGGCUGGAACACCUCCUUUCUGGA